rnacentral:rRNA from 1 species
GACGAACGCUGGCGGCGUGCUUAACACAUGCAAGUCGAACGGAAAGGCCCUGCUUUUGUGGGGUGCUCGAGUGGCGAACGGGUGAGUAACACGUGAGUAACCUGCCCUUGACUUUGGGAUAACUUCAGGAAACUGGGGCUAAUACCGGAUAGGAGCUCCUGCUGCAUGGUGGGGGUUGGAAAGUUUCGGCGGUUGGGGAUGGACUCGCGGCUUAUCAGCUUGUUGGUGGGGUAGUGGCUUACCAAGGCUUUGACGGGUAGCCGGCCUGAGAGGGUGACCGGCCACAUUGGGACUGAGAUACGGCCCAGACUCCUACGGGAGGCAGCAGUGGGGAAUAUUGCGCAAUGGGCGGAAGCCUGAUGCAGCAACGCCGCGUGCGGGAUGCCGGCCUUCGGGUUGUAAACCGCUUUCGCCUGUGACGAAGCGUGAGUGACGGUAAUGGGUAAAGAAGCACCGGCUAACUACGUG